CACGUAGGGCGCAAGCGUUGUCCGGAAUUAUUGGGCGUAAAGAGCUCGUAGGCGGUCUGUUGCGUCCGCUGUGAAAACUCGGGGCUUAACCCCGAGCCUGCAGUGGAUACGGGCAGACUAGAGGUAGGUAGGGGAGAAUGGAAUUCCCGGUGUAGCGGUGAAAUGCGUAGAUAUCUGCAGGAACACCCGUGGCGAAAGCGGCGCGCUGGACCACUACUGACGCUGAGGAACGAAAGCUAGGGGAGCAAACAGG
rnacentral:rRNA from 1 species